rnacentral:rRNA from 1 species
GAAGGUGGCAAGCGUUGUUCGGAAUCAUUGGGCUUAAAGCGCGCGUAGGCGGACUGGAAAGUGUCUUGUGAAAACCCACGGCUUAACCGUGGAAUUGCUUGGCAAACUAUCAGUCUUGAGGCAAGUAGGGGUACAUGGAACUCUUAGUGGAGCGGUGGAAUGCGUAGAUAUUAAGAGGAACGCCAAUGGUGAAGACAGUGUACUGGGCUUGUACUGACGCUGAGGUGCGAAAGCGUGGGGAGCGAACGGGGAUUAGAUACCCCGGUAGUCCGCGCCGUAAACGAUGUCUACUAGAUCGUGGGAGUUCUGACACUUUCACGGUCGAAGCAAAAGUGAUAAGUAGACCGCCUGGGGGAGUACGGUCGCAAGGCUA